UCGUUUAUCUCCUUGUCUUUCUCUUGAGCCAAACGAAUUCUACUAAGUAGAUCGGCUUGAUCGGCCGCACCUAAUCCCAAUGGCUCAUAAUCCUUAGACAAUGCAUUUAAAUGCAAAGUUCCCAUCAUGUUGACCAAAGCCUCUUGGUUUUUCUCCGCUUCUACUUCAAAACGUCUCCUACUUAAGGUAUCCGCAACUUGAUUUGCUUUCCCCGGGUGAUAUGCAAUAUCUAAGUCGUAAUCCGCCACGAAUUCCAUCCACCUUCUUUGCCUUAGAUUUAACUCCGGCUGGGUGAAUAUGUACUUAAGACUCUUGUGGUCGGUGAAGAUUUGGACUUUAGCUCCGUAAAGAUACGAUCGCCAAAUCUUCAAGGAAAACACCACCGCCGCCAUUUCCAAGUCAUGCGUAGGAUAAUUUCCUUCGUGUUUACGCAAUUGCCUUGAAGCAUAAGCGAUUACACUACCCUUUUGAAUCAAUACGCAUCCUAGUCCCGUGAUCGAUGCAUCCGUAUAGACCAUGUAGGGUUCACCUUCUUCCGGUAGCACCAAUACCGGAGCGCUCGUUAGCAUAGCCUUCAAUUCCGAGAAACUUUUCUCACAUUCCUCCGACCAUUGAAACUUUGUAUCCUUUCCGGUUAGCCGGGUCAUCGGUUGGGACAUACUCGCAAAGCCCUUAACGAACCUUCGGUAAUAUCCUGCCAACCCGAGGAAACUUCUUAUCUCAGUGGCAUUCUUCGGUCGUGGCCAAUCCUUAAUAGAUUUUAUCUUCUCCGGAUCGACGGACACUCCUUUAUCCGAAACAAUAUGUCCGAGGAAUCCAAUACUCCUUUGCCAAAACGAGCACUUGCUUAAUUUUGCAAAUAACUCGUGCUUUCUCAACCGUUCUAACACCGCCCUUAGAUGAUCUUGAUGGGAUUCCCAAUCCUUAGAAUAAACAAGAAUAUCAUCGAUGAAGAUGAUCACAAACUCGUCUAAAAAUUCUUGGAAAACACCAUUCAUCAUCUUCAUAAAGGCUGCCGGUGCAUUGGUUAGUCCAAAUGGCAUGACCACAAAUUCGUAAUGGCCAUACCUUGUCCGAAACGCCGUUUUCCGGAUAUCCAGCGGAUCUAUCGGAAUUUGGUGGUAUCCCGAGGCCAAGUCUAUCUUUGAAAACCACUUGGCACCUCGAAGUUGAUCCAACAACUCAUCUAUCCGAGGUAAUGGAUACUUGUUUUUCACCGUAACUCUAUUCAAUCCCCGAUAGUCAAUGCAUAGCCUAAAGCUACCAUCCUUUUUCUUUACGAACAAGACCGGUGCACCCCAUGGUGAACUACUCGGUCUAAUGAAUCCUUUAUCCAACAACUCUUCCAAUUGUUUCUUUAGCUCCGCCAUUUCCGCCGGUGCCAUCCGGUACGGAGCUUUAGAUAUAGGAGUUGUUCCUGGUUCGAGUUCAAUAGUGAAUGGGUCGGACCGGUCCGGUGGUAAACCACUCACAGCCUCAAACACAUCCGAGAACUCGUUUGCGAUCGGAAUGUCUUUCAACUCCGCACUCACCCCAACUUCGUGGGUUGUGAUUGUGGCUAUGGAUGCCUCACACCCUUUCUCUAGCAUCCUUUCCGCUUGGAUUGCCGAGAUUACCAAACUUCCCGAAGUUGUCCUUAUUCCUUGGAAUUUUAACAUUCCUUCCUCCCUCUCGAAUUGAAUCCGUCCUCGAUGACAAUCAAUAUGUGCCUUAUACUUUCCCAACCAAUCCAUACCCAAGAUAACAUCGUGUUUCUUGAGUUGAACAACGAUUAGGUCCGUAGGCAUAUCGACACCGUUAACCACAACCGAGAUGUCCCGAACAAUACCGGACGGGUACAUUGCUUGCCCGCCGGCUGCUCUAACCAGUCCAUAUUCGGUGUUCCGUUCUUUAAUGAACCCACCCUUUUUAACCAUCUCGGAAAUCACAAAACAAUGUGUAGCUCCGGAAUCAAAUAAAGUGUGUGUUUCCACAUCACCUAUUGAUAGUAGGAUUUUAGCUAAGAUCAAUUAUCCUUAAAGUACUAUCAUGUCAUUGCAGUAUUUAAGGUGUCAAUCCAAAUGGGUGUGAUGCUAGCAAUCAAGAUGCAAUCAGAUAUCACAGAGUCAAGCCAAGCAAUAACAGGUUUUGGUGUUGUUAAUAGCUCUAGCGAUCAUGCAGAUAACAUAAAUUCUAACUAUAACAGGCAAUAUACUCGAUCACACAGCUUGAUGCCAAGCACUGGAUGUGGUCGAGUAUCAGGUCGAGUAAUUUAACAGAAACUGUAAACAGGGUACUCGACUGCACAGUUUGUUACCAAACUACUGGGUGUGGUCGAGUACUUCAAAUGAAACAGGGUAGAAAUGAUAAAACUGAGCAACAAGUAACCAGAUCAAGCAAUUAAUAGCGAUGUAAACAAAGAAAUCAAAUGGAAGAGAAAUUCCCGAGGAUGGGGUGAUCGAGUAUUGAAGUCUUCUUAAUCUAACAGGUGGUUAACAUGCUCAACAAACUAUCCCUAGACAACAAGUUCAAUAGCCAAAUCAAAGUGCUACCGCAACAGAGAUCCUCAAGCAAAGCUAGUCCCAGACUCAAUCACCAUUGACGAGAGCUAACCUAACAGGCAUUACGAAACAACAAGUCUAAGCCAAAACGCUCCCUGUAACCAAUACCUUGGUACAGAGCCACGAAUCUCUGGAAUUAGUGGUUCAGACAUUUCAUCGAACACCUUUUGGGUGCGGAAAUGUCUGGGCUCAGAUUCCAGUUGAUCAGAAAGCAAUCAGCAUUAAGAACAACUAAUCCAGAAGGGAUCUACCAAUCAAACUCAACCACCUAGCAGAUCAAGGAUUCUAAACUACUCUAACCCAUCCUCAAGAACCCUAAUCACUACUCAAAAUUCAUAACCAAGAACACAAACCCAGAAAUACAUAAAAACUUCAUAUUAGCAAGAUCUCAACAAGAUGAACAACUUUGUAGAAGAAAUCAAAAGCAAAUACUCAAUAGAUUAAGAGAAAUCUGGAUUACAAAUAUGAAGAAAAGCACUAAUUGUUCUGCAGAAAAUAAAAACUUCCUCUCAAAAUUAUGAGAAACAACCUAUUUAUAGCAAAUACUAGGAAACCCUAAAUCACAAGACGACAAAGUAUUAAGGCGGUUUACGGAGAUACUCGACCCUUGUGAUCGAGUAGAGAGGUUGAAUAAAGUUGGCGCCUUUGCGAUUUCUUGCUCUGGGCAUGUCGUGAUCGAGCAUUUGGGUCGAGUAUGUGCUCGAGUUCUGCUUCAUCCUCUUCUCUUCCUUAUGCUCAAUGUCUGGUUGAGUUGGGAUCUGAGAAGACUGUGAAGCUUGUGAUCAAGUGGCUGCGGGGAGGUGGUGAUCGAGUAGAUUGGUUGGUGGCACGCUCUGGACUGCUUCUUCAACCCUGCGAUCGAGUAGAACUGUGAACUGGCAGGAUGGACUGCCCUGUGAUCGAGCAGAACUGUGAACUGGCAAGAUGGACUGCCCUGUGAUCGAGCAGAACACUCCUGAUGGUCUGCUGAGCUGACUGCUUCCCUCUCUGCUACUGGUGAUCGAGCAGAAUGGUCCAAAUGUGACUUUCAGCUAUGUUUUUCCUCUUUCUGAACACCAAUAGCCCCGAAGCACCUGAAACAACUCAAAUAUGCAACAUGCAUGCAAAACUACCCUAAUCAUGCAAAGUGAUGACAAAUGAUGAAGAAUGGUAUGAAACAAUGACGAAAUGAUGAUAAAGUGAUGCUAAAUGGAUGCUCAAAACAAGUGAAAUAUAGACAUAUCACCUAUACUCAAGGUCCCUACACAUUUCCCUAUAGUGCUAAGUACCUAAUCCGUUUAUGCACGAUGAAAUGCCAUGCACGAAUUAAAAUAAAAAGCACAAAGGCUUACCAGUGAUCGCCCUGAAGUUCCCAGCGUUGUUAGCUUCCUCCGACAAUUCGUAAACGCGCGGUGCUAUAGCCUGCCUCUUGGGCGGAGGCGGUAACCCAUUUCUGCUACGGGUUACCCUUUGUCCAGCUUGUCUUUCCGCUUCCAGCUUUGGACAUUCUCUCUUGAAGUGUCCCGCUUUCCCACAGUAGAAGCAAGUCCUUUGCUCAUUCACAUUCUCUUUCGGAGUUCCUUGUUCCAUCCGUGGACAGUUUUGGAUACUAUGAUCCUUACUCCCACAACGCACACAUGCACCAACAGCCCUCCAGAAAGUUCCGCUGUGAUUCUUCCCACAAGUAGCGCACUCUCCGCGCUUAGUAUCCGAUUUGGUGUCCUCCACCUUAUCAAAUUUCCUCUUCUUGUCCAUCAGUUUCGUUGGCUGCGAAGGACGCGACGAAAACUUCUCCGGUUUCAUCCGUUUCUCCUCCUCAAGCCCAGCUUCGAUCAUGGCUGCCCUCUCAACCAAUUUGGACACCGAAGUAAAGGUUCGAAUCAAGCAAUGGUUACGGAUCUCGAUCCUUAGUCCUCGGAUGAAACGACGAACUUGAGCUUGUUCAUCCUCGAGUUCUCUCCCCACAUAUCGCCUAAGACGAUUGAACUCUUCGUCAUACUCGCGCACCGUUCGGUUCCCUUGAACCAAAUCCAAGUAGGCGCACUCGAGUCUGUCCAAAGCCUCCGGUGGGAAGAACUUCUUGUUGAAUUCUUCCUCAAAAUCCGCGAAGGAUUGGAUUUGAUCACCUUUCCGUUUCUCGACGGUUAGCCACCAGUUAUGUGCAUCGCCCUCCAAGAAGUGGAUCGCAAUGUCCUUCCGGUAAUCCUCCGGGCAUCGAGUGGAGUUAAAGUUUCUUUUGAGCCGAGUCCUCCACUCAUCCGCCACGAUCGGGUCGGAACUCCCCGUGAAAUGCUUUGUUCCCAACUUUGAGACGUGCGCGAGUAAACUUAAGUAGUCUCCCCGCUUCCUUGAAGAGUUCGUAGGCAGAUUGACUUCAACAGUCUCCACAUCUACGUCCACAUCCGCGUCCGUUUUGUUCUCCUUCACUUGUACCACAGGAUCCGGUACGAGUGCCUUAGUCAAUGCGGCCAUUUGUGCCAUCAUUGCCUUUAUCGUAUCCCAUUGUUCUUGAGCCGAUGGAAGUGCAUUCGGUGCCUCUUUCUCCUUCGUUGCAUCACUACUCUCCGGAGUUUCGUGAACCGGAAGUUUCUGUCCAGCCUCAGGUCCGGCCGGGUUUAUUCCAUCCAUCGUUGCUUCGACCCUUGUUUCCUCAGUGACCCGCGUCUCCUCGGCGGUCAAGGUCUCCUCAACGACGUCCUUAUCCUUCUUACUCUUUCCCUUCUUGUCUUUCUUACCCAUCUGCGAAAACUCACAAGUUAGUCAUAUAACUCAAAGUAAUCGUUUAGAGAGAAAGAACAUCUACCGCGAGAUCUCAUUAAGCCGAUGAGUGGUGAUCCCCAAACCCAAAACUCAUAGUCCUAGAACCGUAAAUGCUCUGAUACCAACUUGAAAGACCCCAACCCGGACUCCCUAAGCCCAGAGAGGUUCUUCCCGAACGGAUCACUAAGUGGUCCGAUCCUUAGCCAAAUUUUAGGGUUCAUUCCUUAAGACAAUCCGUUUCAUAUUAUUCCGCGAUUCAUUAUUUAGAGUCAUUAUGCAACCUUAGAGUAAAACAACGAUCGGAUACUUUAUUAGAUAAGUAAAGGAUUCGAUACAACUUAUGAGUUUGCAUAUAAGCUAUUAAAAGUCAUAUAAUCGAUCCUAUUCUACCCGAUUCACCACCACCCAUCUUCCCGACUAUGAGUCUCUCGCGCCUAAGCCAUAUCCUUCCCACGAUCACCAUCCUUCCCUGAAACCAACAAGACAUAAGUACUCGUCUUUUACUUAGUGGAUGCAAGUCCAUGCAAUGCACUAUACGUUCUUAUAAUCCUUUGGUCCAGAAAACAGAUCGGAGAGAGGAAGUAAGCGCAUCAGUUCGGCCUAGAACCGGUAGAUCCUCGCGGAUCCGCCGAUUCCUUGCCGAGCCGCCUCCCCGUCUCAACCAAACCGUUACUCCUCACAAAGUAUGCACGAUAUGAAUAUGCUCAUGAAUGACUAGGCCGAUCAACGAACUAAUCAAACAACCCACAAUAUUCUAGCCCUUAUACCAUCCGCACGUCCGGAGAUCGUAAUCUCCGAGGCAUUACCACGGCUUUACACCCACCUUGAUUACACGGAUUCGAUCGGUGAAUGAUCCGUGUUGCCUCUCUCGAUCGCCGAUAGAACGCUCGGCUCCGCAAACUCUCCUUUUAACCGUAUUCCUCUCGGCAAAUGCCUUAGAGUUUUCUCUGGAUUUUAGGUGUUUGCGCGUGUUUUUGAAAAUAAAGGAAUCGCCUUCUAUUUAUAGUUUUUACGAUUAAAACCGUUUUUCCCCAUAGGUGCCCGUUCGGUGGAACACGCUUGUUCGCAUAGGUUCGUUGAAACCGCUCAUUCAUGCAUCUUUGACCAACCGUUCGUUCGCGUCUAUUCGGCCGUUAUAUGUAACCGUCAACCCAACCGCCUUACUACCUUCCCACCCGACCAGCUGACCUAGCUAGACUAUCACUCAACCAGCUGACCUUCACUCCGUCCAGCUUAGGUGAGCUACCGAGCAGCUGGUCCAGCUAGUCGAGCUGGUUAGCUUCAACACUUCCAGCUCGUUUCAGCUUGUCACGCACUUCAGAAGCCACUCUAUCUGCUUCCUUUGGACUUAGCCCGAGAUUCCGCUUUUCCCUCGAACCAAGUCUUACCCGGCGAUCCUAUUGAGGGUCGCGGGUGUUACAGUACCUUGGACUCAAUUUCUUCCUUGUAGUAAAUCGCCUUUUUCCCUUAUAAGUCACCGCCUUAAGAUAUACCAAGUCUCCCACUUGGAACUCCAACUCUUUUCGACGCUUAUCCGCAUAAAUAUUUUGUCGGUUUUGUGCUUCCUUUAGUUUUAUCUUAAGGAACUUCAUAUUUUCGGUGGUUUCAUCCAUUAUCUUCGGACCGAACAGCAUACGUUCGCCCACCGGUGUCCAACAUAGCGGCGUCCGACAUGCUCGGCCGUACAACGCUUCGUAAGGCGACAUACCAAUACUAGCUUGAUAACUAUUAUUGUACGCGAACUCCACCAACCUUAAGUACUUCUCCCAAUUCCCACCCCAAUCCAAGACGCAUGCACGUAACAUGUCCUCAAGGGUUUGAAUCGUACGCUCGGAUUGUCUGUCUGUUUGAGGAUGGUAAGCUGUGCUCAAGUUCACCCGCGUCCCCAAGGCUUUUUGGAAAGCCUUCCAGAAAUGCGAUGUGAAACGUGUAUCCCGAUCAGACACAAUGCUUACCGGAACCCCAUGUAACCGGACUAUCUCGUCUAUGUACUUUGCUGCGAUCUCCUCGACUCCAUCCGUUUCAGAAAUUGCCAUAAAAUGCGCGGACUUUGUUAAUCUGUCCACCACAACCCAAACCGCAUUGUGUUUAGACUUGAUCCCCGUAGGUAACCCGGUAACAAAGUCCAUUGUUACAUAGUCCCACUUCCAUUCCGGCAUAGGUAGAUUUUGCACCAAUCCACUCGGAACUUGGUGUUCCGCCUUGACUAGUUGGCACGUCGAACACUUAGCAACCCAUGCCGCUACGUCCUUCUUCAUUCCAACCCAAUGGUAGUAUCGUUUCAAGUCUCGGUACAUUUUACUCGAUCCGGGGUGGAUCGAGAACUUCGAUUGGUGCGCCUCUUUGAGGAUUUCUUCCUUCAACUCCUUAUCGUUUGGCACGCAUACCCGACCAUUCACCACAAUCGUACCAUUGUUAGACGUUUGGUAUUCCGUCUUAUUGUUCCUUGCCCAAUCGUUUAUCUCCUUGUCUUUCUCUUGAGCCAAACGAAUUCUACUAAGUAGUUCAGCUUGAUCGGCCGCACAUAAUCCCAAUGGCUCAUAAUCUUUAGACAAUGCUUUUAAAUGCAAAGUUCCCAUCAUGUUGACCAAAGCCUCUUGGUUUUUCUCCGCUUCUACUUCAAAACGUCUCCUACUUAAGGCAUCCGCGACUUGAUUUGCU
rnacentral:lncRNA from 1 species